UGAGGAAUAUUGGUCAAUGGGGGCAACCCUGAACCAGCCAAGUCGCGUGAAGGAUGAAGGUCUUAUGGAUUGUAAACUUCUUUUACACGGGAAUAAAGUGGGGGACGUGUCCCCCUUUGCAUGUACCGUGUGAAUAAGGAUCGGCUAACUCCGUGCCAGCAGCCGCGGUAAUACGGAGGAUCCGAGCGUUAUCCGGAUUUAUUGGGUUUAAAGGGUGCGCAGGCGGGAUGUUAAGUCGGCGGUGAAAUUUUGCAGCUCAACUGUAAAAGUGCCUUCGAUACUGGCCUCCUUGAGUGUGGAUGAAGUAGGCGGAAUUUGUGGUGUAGCGGUGAAAUGCUUAGAUAUCACGAGGAACUCCGAUUGCGCAGGCAGCUUACUAAGCCACAACUGACGCUCAUGCACGAAGGCGUGGGGAUCAAACAG
rnacentral:rRNA from 1 species